UGAAUCACAAGUGAUCAAAGUCUGAUAUUACAACAGAUUACUAUUAAAAUAUGAAUGGCUUGAACAUACAGUAUAUACAUACAAUCAUAACAAUAAAUAACACUAAAAUUAGAAAAGCAGCUUUGUCUGUAAAAUCAAUGAAAAUGAAAAAAUCUUUUAGGUUAAAGUAGUAACUGGUUGUUAAAGGGUGAGCUCACCCAAAUUAGAAACAUUCAUAUUCUCUCUAGUAUCAUCUCUUCUUUACUUUAUGAAUGUCUCUGCAAACUGCAAAAGGUGUUCCCAAGGUUUAGUCUCCAACCUUUAAUUUGGCUGGUAAAAUGACUCCGCUGUUAUGUUAAUUAACAAAAAUUAAAUUCUCAGGUGGUGUCCGUACAAUUUACAGCUGGCAGAGUAAGCAGUACUUAAAAUAAAUAGAACGCUGCUUUUGAAUGUCACAAUUAUUUCUGCAAAUUGUUGGUUAGCAAUGUCAAGUACGGGCACAAAUGUAAAUACAAUUUGUGUAGAAGAACUAAAAAAGAACCCUGGAAGUCAUCAAGAAGUAGCAUUAUACUUGUAUCUAUUAUUAUUCUUUUCAUGUAGAAAUAAGUUUGAUAGGUACAAACCUAUCAUUUUUUAAUAAUAUGUAGACAACCAAACAGUCCUUGAUACUAAUUUACAGAAAAUAAUCAAUAUUUAUGUUAGAAUGGUAAUUAAAUUCCAAUGAAAACUGCUGCCAGUGUGUUCUAGAUACCACUAGAGUUACAGAUAGUGUUUUUUUGUAACUUGGGUGAACUGGCCCUUUAACAGCGAGGAACGAACCGGAUGAAGAGCUGAGUUGUUAAGCUUCAGGUGUGUCUCAGAACUACAGCAGGUAGUGAACGUCCAGCAAGUCUAGACAUCGAAAAUCAUUCAAAAGUUCCCCAUAUGCACUGCAAAAAGAAGUGCGUGCUCACUGACUGGAUGGACUUAUCAGCCAGAGUUCCCUGUGUUCCUCUAAACUUAGUCUGGUUAUAAACUGAUUAAAUGCAAGAAUAUUGUGGGCCAUG